GCUGGAAAAUUAAUUAUGUAUAUUUCUACUUUUUUCCUAGAUUAAGGCCCAUGUAAUGUGCGGGGAUGACCAGAAUCUCAGUACCAUGUGACUAACCCCCCCCCUUCCCCUCCUCUCCUCAGUGUCCUUUUGUCCUUGCUUUCCCCCCCCCCUCUCAGCGUCACUGUGUUGACCACUUCUAUAACAAAAUUUACCCCGUGAAUAAACGUAAUUUCUCUUGCUUGGCCAGGUUAUAGAGGCGAAUUUUUCACCUAAUCCCAGAGAAUGGGGAGCCCUUAAUACGAUAAAAUUAAUUUUAUAAUGGUAAGGUCUUAAACCAGCUCAAACAAAUCCCAGAUAAUUACGCCGCGCCAAUGAGGUUGACGAAUCUGAUAAGUCUUCUUUGCUUCGCCGUCCUGUUACCCCUGUUGCUACGCAAGCCGAGAAGAGAUACCAGACUUUGACUAAUUCCCCAAUUGAUUUCAAAAGUCCAUUGAAUUAAACUUCUUAAAGUAACAACUAUAAAGUAAACAGUAACUUAAUUAUUCAUAUUUUUCAUCCCUGAACUCACAACCUAGUCGCCCCCCCCCACUAAAAACAAAAUUAUAACUCUUAAUAAAUUUCCCCAUUGGAAACCUUUAUCCUUAGUUUCCCGCUGAUUUCCUCACAAGCAAAGCCAGUCUCUCUCGGAUUCUCCUCAGACCCUCUCGGAUUCUCCUCAGAUAUUCCUGUUGAUAAACUGUUUCUGAGUGGAUAGAUAUUCGCAUUUUUUUUGUUCUUUUUUUUUGUUGGUUUUCUCCACGGGACUAGUGAAACCACCUGGUUCGAGAUCACCGUGUGAGACUGUCCUCAGGUCUAUACAUACUUUUUGGGUAUAUAUUUGUUAUUUAUUUAUUUAUUCUCUGGUCUCCCCCGCAAUUCAGUAGUCGCGAAAAUAUCUCCAUCGUAGUUUUUAUGUAAUUGAAGAAUACGCUAUCAUUUAUUUUGUAUUUCUGAAUUAUGUAACUGAAGAGUACGCUACCAUUUAUUUUGUAUUUCUGAAUUCCUUUCUUUUUAUUAUUAUUAUUUCGGAUUAUUCCAUUAUUUAUUAAAAAUCAUAAAAGUGUCA